GCACGCCGGGGGGGUGUGGUCCACAGUUGGUUACGGUGAAACGGGUUUGGCCACCGUCCCCCGUUCUCUGGCCGCUGAUUCGUCGAGCCCGGGUGCCACCCCCCGGCCCGGGUGA